rnacentral:rRNA from 1 species
AACUAACGCUGGCGGCGCGUCUUAAACAUGCAAGUCGAACGGAUGUAGCAAUACAUUAGUGGCGAACGGGUGAGUAACACGUAGGUAAUCUACCUCUGAGUCUGGAACAACCUGAUGAAAAUCAGGCUAAUACUGGAUAGUAUUAAUUUGGCGAAUGUCGGAUUAAUUAAAGCAUUUAUGCGCUGAGAGAUGAGCCUGCGGCUGAUUAGCUAGUUGGUAGGGUAAUGGCUUACCAAGGCGACGAUCAGUAGUUGGUCUGAGAGGACGGCCAGCCACACUGGGACUCGAGACACGGCCCAGACUCCUACGGAGCAGCAGUGGGGAAUUUUGGACAAUGGGCGCAAGCCUGAUCCAGCAAUGCCGCGUGAGUGAAGAAGGCCUCGGUUGGUUAAAGUACGUACUUUCCGGUUGGGGUA